AUAAUUGCCUUCCAAAAAAACUCUUGUCGUCCUGGUGUUUCUCCUGCUGAUUGUUAACACUGAGUUUUCCAAAGCCCGAGGGGUCAGACGACUUGAUAUCAGAUUCAACAGUAAUGCAGAGGGAAUUUCUUCACAGACAGCUGCACCAUAGACCCUGAAAGUGACAUCAGGAAUAUCUUCUCCGCAAGUUACAGUGAGCAUCUGGGUUAAAACUGAUCAACAGCACAAGGAAAAUAUGUGCGAAAGUCUGAGAUGCAUAUUCCCACAUAGCUGUCCAGAACACAGCAGGUAACCGUUUGGAAAAUAUGUGCGAAAGUCUGAGAUGCAUAUUCCCACAUAGCUGUCCAGAACACAGCAUGCAACCGUUUGAAUUUUGUUGAGAAAUCUGUCCGCGACCAAGGCAGUUCAUACUGGAUUGGAAAAUGCAACUAUGGGUGAGAUUUGGGGUAUUGCAAGUUUCUGAGAAAAGAGUGAGUCGGGGAUCGGUGCAGGCUGAGUGAAGGGAGUG